UACAGAGGUGGCAAGCGUUGUUCGGAAUUACUGGGCGUAAAGGGCGCGUAGGCGGUUCGAUAAGUCCCGUGUGAAAGCCCCCGGCUCAACUGGGGAACUGCACGGGAAACUGACGGACUUGAGUUCGGGAGAGGGAAGCGGAAUUCCGGGUGUAGCGGUGAAAUGCGUAGAUAUCCGGAGGAACACCGGUGGCGAAGGCGGCAUCCUGGACCGGCAUUGACGCUGAGGCGCGAAAGCCAGGGGAGCAAACGGG
rnacentral:rRNA from 1 species